rnacentral:rRNA from 1 species
CGAAUGGGGAAACCCAGUGUGAUUCGUCACACUAUCAUUAACUGAAUCCAUAGGUUAAUGAGGCGAACCGGGGGAACUGAAACAUCUAAGUACCCCGAGGAAAAGAAAUCAACCGAGAUUCCCCCAGUAGCGGCGAGCGAACGGGGAGGAGCCCAGAGCCUGAAUCAGCAUGUGUGUUAGUGGAAGCGUCUGGAAAGGCGCGCGAUACAGGGUGACAGCCCCGUACACAAAAGCGCAUGUGCUGUGAGCUCGAUGAGUAGGGCGGGACACGUGGUAUCCUGUCUGAAUAUGGGGGGACCAUCCUCCAAGGCUAAAUACUCCUGACUGACCGAUAGUGAACCAGUACCGUGAGGGAAAGGCGAAAAGAACCCCGGCGAGGGGAGUGAAAAAGAACCUGAAACCGUGUACGUACAAGCAGUGGGAGCNNGUGACUGCGUACCUUUUGUAUAAUGGGUCAGCGACUUAUAUUCUGUAGCAAGGUUAACCGUAUAGGGGAGCCGGAGGGAAACCGAGUCUUAAUUGGGCGUUAAGUUGCAGGGUAUAGACCCGAAACCCGGUGAUCUAGCCAUGGGCAGGUUGAAGGUUGGGUAACACUAACUGGAGGACCGAACCGACUAAUGUUGAAAAAUUAGCGGAUGACCUGUGGCUGGGGGUGAAAGGCCAAUCAAACCGGGAGAUAGCUGGUUCUCCCCGAAAGCUAUUUAGGUAGCGCCUCGUGAAUUCAUCUCCGGGGGUAGAGCACUGUUUCGGCUAGGGGGCCAUCCCGGCUUACCAACCCGAUGCAAACUGCGAAUACCGGAGAAUGUUAUCACGGGAGACACACGGCGGGUGCUAACGUCCGUCGUGAAGAGGGAAACAACCCAGACCGCCAGCUAAGGUCCCAAAGUCAUGGUUAAGUGGGAAACGAUGUGGGAAGGCCCAGACAGCCAGGAUGUUGGCUUAGAAGCAGCCAUCAUUUAAAGAAAGCGUAAUAGCUCACUGGUCGAGUCGGCCUGCGCGGAAGAUGUAACGGGGCUAAACCAUGCACCGAAGCUGCGGCAGCGAACGUAUCACCCAAGACAACUUUACGGAGUUGACGAUUGACGGAGCGAAGCGACGUCAAAGCGUUCAUUAAAGUCGAGUUGGCUUAGGGAUACGUUCGUUGGGUAGGGGAGCGUUCUGUAAGCCUGUGAAGGUGUGUCGUGAGGCAUGCUGGAGGUAUCAGAAGUGCGAAUGCUGACAUAAGUAACGAUAAAGCGGGUGAAAAGCCCGCUCGCCGGAAGACCAAGGGUUCCUGUCCAACGUUAAUCGGGGCAGGGUGAGUCGACCCCUAAGGCGAGGCCGAAAGGCGUAGUCGAUGGGAAACGGGUUAAUAUUCCCGUACUUGGUGUUACUGCGAAGGGGGGACGGAGAAGGCUAUGUUGGCCGGGCGACGGUUGUCCCGGUUUAAGCGUGUAGGUGUGUGUUCCAGGUAAAUCCGGUUCACUUUAACACUGAGGCGUGACGACGAGGCACUACGGUGCUGAAGCAACAAAUGCCCUGCUUCCAGGAAAAGCCUCUAAGCAUCAGGUAACAUCAAAUCGUACCCCAAACCGACACAGGUGGUCAGGUAGAGAAUACCAAGGCGCUUGAGAGAACUCGGGUGAAGGAACUAGGCAAAAUGGUGCCGUAACUUCGGGAGAAGGCACGCUGACACGUAGGUGAAGUGAUUUACUCAUGGAGCUGAAGUCAGUCGAAGAUACCAGCUGGCUGCAACUGUUUAUUAAAAACACAGCACUGUGCAAACACGAAAGUGGACGUAUACGGUGUGACGCCUGCCCGGUGCCGGAAGGUUAAUUGAUGGGGUCAGCGCAAGCGAAGCUCCUGAUCGAAGCCCCGGUAAACGGCGGCCGUAACUAUAACGGUCCUAAGGUAGCGAAAUUCCUUGUCGGGUAAGUUCCGACCUGCACGAAUGGCGUAAUGAUGGCCAGGCUGUCUCCACCCGAGACUCAGUGAAAUUGAACUCGCUGUGAAGAUGCAGUGUACCCGCGGCAAGACGGAAAGACCCCGUGAACCUUUACUAUAGCUUGACACUGAACAUUGAGCCUUGAUGUGUAGGAUAGGUGGGAGGCUUUGAAGUGUGGACGCCAGUCUGCAUGGAGCCGACCUUGAAAUACCACCCUUUAAUGUUUGAUGUUCUAACGUGGACCCGUAAUCCGGGUUGCGGACAGUGUCUGGUGGGUAGUUUGACUGGGGCGGUCUCCUCCUAAAGAGUAACGGAGGAGCACGAAGGUUGGCUAAUCCUGGUCGGACAUCAGGAGGUUAGUGCAAUGGCAUAAGCCAGCUUGACUGCGAGCGUGACGGCGCGAGCAGGUGCGAAAGCAGGUCAUAGUGAUCCGGUGGUUCUGAAUGGAAGGGCCAUCGCUCAACGGAUAAAAGGUACUCCGGGGAUAACAGGCUGAUACCGCCCAAGAGUUCAUAUCGACGGCGGUGUUUGGCACCUCGAUGUCGGCUCAUCACAUCCUGGGGCUGAAGUAGGUCCCAAGGGUAUGGCUGUUCGCCAUUUAAAGUGGUACGCGAGCUGGGUUUAGAACGUCGUGAGACAGUUCGGUCCCUAUCUGCCGUGGGCGCUGGAGAACUGAGGGGGGCUGCUCCUAGUACGAGAGGACCGGAGUGGACGCAUCACUGGUGUUCGGGUUGUCAUGCCAAUGGCACUGCCCGGUAGCUAAAUGCGGAAGAGAUAAGUGCUGAAAGCAUCUAAGCACGAAACUUGCCCCGAGAUGAGUUCUCCCUGAGACUU